GGAUAUGAGGGCGAUCUGGCUGCGACAUCUGUAACUCCAUUGACCGCUAGCUUUGAUUCGGCUGAUCUGGCUGGCUACUUUUAUGUCCCCUUCCUCCCUCACCGCUCCAUGUGUGUUGCUCCCUGUGCAUCUCUCCUGAAGCUGUGGCACUCUGUCAAAGAGGACAGCCUUCCUCAAAUAGAGACAGAUGGGUUUGGUCGAGGGUAUAAGAGUAACUGAGCUCCCCUGCUAGAACCUCUAAACAAGCUCUCAAGAAUUAGACAAGAAAGGGUUAACAGUUACUCUGGAGAAUAGGUAGUAGAGCAGGUCUGCAAGCAUCUCUCUGCCUUUCUC
rnacentral:snRNA from 1 species